rnacentral:sRNA from 1 species
GGCCUUUCAGCAGAGAGAUAUUCCUAGUGGCUGCGAAGUUGCUUGCUGUGGUAGGGCAUGAAGGCAGGAAGAUAGAUUAGGUAAAAAUAGGGAGUUGAAGGAGCAAGUCAGGGUGGCGAGCAGGAGCUGAAAUCAGGAGUUGCUAGAGAGUUGUGUAAUAACCAAAGCUUAUAUGGUUUGAAGCAGAGAUCUGGAGCUCAGCAGAAAGAAAAAGAUCAACGCUAACAGCUUGAUUUGGGGACCCUGGAAAUGAGCAGGAAUCCAAGGCAUCAGAAAGCCAGGGCAGCCCCACAGCACAGGGCUGCAGAGAGGGCAGCAGGAGCUCGGGCAGCGCAGGGGCUUGUCAAAAGGUCAUAGGCUCUUUUUACACCUGAUGCAAGGACAGAAACACACACAAGGUCUGGAGGAUUCCUGUGAGACAGCCAUACAUCCCUAUCACUUCAAAAUAAGUGAGGACAUUCUUGUUUGAGAGGGUAGAAUGGUUUUGAAGAAGAAAAAACCUGCUUUCUGACUGAUUUUGCCUUGAAGGAAAAAAGAACCUAUUUUUGUGCAUCAUUUACCAAUCAUGCCACACAAGCAUUUAUUUUUAGUACAUUUUAUUUUUUCAUAAAAUUGCUAAUGCCAAAGCUUUGUAUUAAAAGAAAUAAAUAAUAAAAUAAAAA